CUCUUCUCGAGCAGCGGACGCCGCCAUGACAGUUUUGUCCUUGACAAGUCACAGCGUUACCUGAUGAGUCAAGAGGUUCUGUACCUGAUGUACCUGAUCAAGAGUACCUGAUGAUCCUGCAACACCACCUGAUGGCCAACUCGACGGCAUUGCUGACCCGAAAAGGAGUCUAGCAGCUGAAUGUUCAACUUCUGCCACUGCACUGUUGACUCUGCCUAUAGACAGCAUCUGCACCACGGCCCACAGACGAUCUUCCGUGGGACGGUGUGCUGCGCACCAGUCACCACACUGACGGCGUUCACCUGUGUGCUGCACAACUUUCUGUGAGGUCAGGAGAUCGACACUGACGGCCCCGGACGGUGUGCUCUGAUUGCGCCGAGUGUGCUCCCUCGUGUCCGGGCCUUGAUGCCAAUACCGCACGCGAGGCGGCGCGCGUCCGCCAAGCCCUCACAUACUGCGUCCAAGGUGCAGGUGGUGUUCGGUGACAGUGUGCAGCUUCUGCCGGCCCCGUGGACGGCACCGCAUGUGACCAUGGCAUGUGCAUUCGAUUUUCUGACAUAAGUGCAGUGAAUUCAUUUGUCAUUUUGCUUCUGAAUGCUGUCGCCGCUCGGUAGGGUCGAUUCUGCCAGAGUAAAGAGGUCGCCACGAUCGGCGGCGGUGGGCGGUGCGGCAAGCCGGAGCAAGGCACUCAGCAAUCAGCUGCCGGGAGGUGGCGGCGGCGGCGGCGGCUGACGACUCGGGCCUCGAAAAUCCUGUCGUGUGCGUUGCUGGCUAUUAUGCGUUGUUGGUGUGCGCUGUUUUGCAAGGCCUUUGGAGCGGCAUGUCGAGUUUUGAGUUUUGGACGAAGGAGCCUUGGUGUUUUGUUGGUCUAUUUUCGAUAAAAACGGUCAUGAAGAGUGAGCUGUGUCCAGGCUGAUUUUAAUAUUUCUGUCACAGUAUUGUCACCUUUGACCUAGGCUUGUGUCUUCUUGGGUAUCGGCAUAUUGUGCCACCGUCCUUGCCCCGUGUCCGCGCGUGCUGCAUUUUUAUGUGGUCGCGCGUAUGGUGUCAUAUAC